UACAGGGGGUGCAAACGUUGCUCGGAAUCAUUGGGCGUAAAGCGCACGUAGGCGGUUCGUUAUGUCGGAUGUGAAAGCCCUUGGCUUAACCGAGGAAGUGCAUCCGAAACUGGCGAGCUAGAGUACUAAAGAGGAUCGCGGAAUUCCCGGUGUAGAGGUGAAAUUCGUAGAUAUUCGCAAGAACACCAGUGGCGAAGGCGGCUCACUGGCCCGGUACUGACGCUGAGGUGCGAAAGCGUGGGGAGCAAACAGG
rnacentral:rRNA from 1 species